AGAGUUUGAUCCUGGCUCAGGAUUAACGCUGGCGGCGUGCAUAACACAUGCAAGUCGAACGAUUGAAACUUUUUUGAUUUCUUCGGAAAUGAAAAAAAGUGGAUUAGUGGCGGACGGGUGAGUAACGCGUGAGUAACCUGCCUUAGAGAAGGGGAUAGCCUUUGGAAACGAAGAAUAAUACCCUAUGAUACCAACACUUCGCAUGGAGAGUUGGUCAAAGAUUUAUCGCUCUAAGAUGGACUUGCGUCUGAUUAGUUAGUUGGUGGGGUAACGGCCUACCAAGACAGCGAUCAGUAGCCGGCUUGAGAGAGUGUACGGCCACAUUGGGACUGAGACACGGCCCAGACUCCUACGGGAGGCAGCAGUGGGGAAUUUUGCACAAUGGGGGAAACCCUGAUGCAGCGACGCCGCGUGAUUUAGAAGGCCUUCGGGUUGUAAAAAAUCUUUUCUAUGGGAAGAAAAUGACAGUACCAUAGGAAUAAGGACCGGCUAAUUACGUG
rnacentral:rRNA from 1 species